rnacentral:rRNA from 1 species
UGCCAGCCGCCGCGGUAAUACGGAGGGUGCAAGCGUUGUCCGGAUUCACUGGGUGUAAAGGGUGUGUAGGCGGAGUGGACAGUCAGAGGUGAAAUCCUACAGCUUAACUGUAGAACUGCCUUUGAUACUACCAUUCUUGAGUACCGGAGAGGCUACUAGAAUUCGUGGUGUAGCGGUGAAAUGCGUAGAUAUCACGAGGAAUACCAGAGGCGUAGGCGGGUAGCUGGACGAGUACUGACGCUGAGGCACGAAAGCGUGGGGAGCAAACAGGAUUAGAUA